rnacentral:rRNA from 1 species
GAGGAAAGAGGGAGGCGUGCCUAAUACAUGCAAGUCGAGCGAACAGACGAGGAGCUUGCUCCUCUGACGUUAGCGGCGGACGGGUGAGUAACACGUGGAUAACCUACCUAUAAGACUGGGAUAACUUCGGGAAACCGGAGCUAAUACCGGAUAACAUGUUGAACCGCAUGGUUCAACAGUGAAAGACGGUCUUGCUGUCACUUAUAGAUGGAUCCGCGCCGCAUUAGCUAGUUGGUAAGGUAACGGCUUACCAAGGCAACGAUGCGUAGCCGACCUGAGAGGGUGAUCGGCCACACUGGAACUGAGACACGGUCCAGACUCCUACGGGAGGCAGCAGUAGGGAAUCUUCCGCAAUGGGCGAAAGCCUGACGGAGCAACGCCGCGUGAGUGAAGAAGGUCUUCGGAUCGUAAAACUCUGUUAUUAGGGAAGAACAAAUGUGUAAGUAACUAUGCACGUCUUGACGGUACCUAAUCAGAAAGCCACGGCUAACUACGUG